GUGCUACUCCCUCCGUUCCGAAUUACUCGUCACAGAAAUGGAUGUAUGUAGAUCAUACAUCCAUUUCUGUGACGAGUAAUUCGGAACGGAGGGAGUACUUG
rfam:Triticum urartu cultivar G1812 contig1065922, whole genome shotgun sequence.